GAAGUAGAUAUUAGGAACUUGGAAUAUGGUUAAGAACAAGGCCUCUCGUCAAGCAAUCAAGGUCAACUUCACGGAUGACAUAUCUUCUUGAAAUGUCAUAAGAUAUGACUCCUUGAAUGAUCUUACUGACAAUGGAGUCGGAUCCUCAAUUCUAUAGCCAUCCUCAAUGGACUGAUAUUCAAGCUCAAGCCAUUAUUGACUAACACCAAGGGCAAUCUGUAAAUUUUUCUUGCUGAACCAUCAUGUGCAACAGCUUGGUAUGGCCAGUCCCUUUAGGGGGCAACUCUUAUUGCUUCUUAAGAUGUCUGGUCAUCCUUUCAAAGGUUUCUAACUCCACUUUUUCGAAUAUCAUAGCUGUCUAGAAAGCUCUCAAAAAACCAGUUGGUGUUUUGGGGGCUUGGUGAUCUCCCAGACUCUUGCUUCUGCCUUCAUCUUCUUUAGUUGAUUGAUUGGAUUAUAGAUCAAUGACCUCUUGUGGUGGUAAAUGGGGUGUUCUUCUGCUGGGUGCUGCUUUUGAUCGUGCAUUUCCUUUUCAAACCGCUUUGCAGGUUGGUCUGCACCUUAAAACACUGGCUUGAAGACUUGCCAGAUUGCAUCAUAUUACUUAUCGCACUCCCUCAAUAAUUGCUUUUGAUCAACAUGAUCAUAAUCAAGGGGUGUGCGAUGUGAGUUGGGUAAAG
rnacentral:lncRNA from 1 species